GGGGGAUAUUGCACAAUGGGCGCAAGCCUGAUGCAGCGACGCCGCGUGAGGGAUGACGGCUUUCGGGUUGUAAACCUCUUUUACUAUCGAACAAGGCACAGUCUUUUGUUGUGUUGAGGGUAGGUGGUGAAUAAGCGCCGGCUAACUACGUGCCAGCAGCCGCGGUAAUACGUAGGGCGCGAGCGUUGUCCGGAAUUAUUGGGCGUAAAGAGCUCGUAGGCGGCUUGUCGCGUCUGCUGUGAAAUCCUGGGGCUUAACUCUGGGCGUGCAGUGGGUACGGGCAGGCUAGAGUGCGGUAGGGGUGAUUGGAAUUCUUGGUGUAGCGGUGGAAUGCGCAGAUAUCAGGAGGAACACCGAUGGCGAAGGCAGGUCACUGGGCCGUUACUGACGCUGAGGAGCGAAAGCAUGGGGAGCGAAC
rnacentral:rRNA from 1 species